ACGGGAGACACACGGCGGGUGCUAACGUCCGUCGUGAAGAGGGAAACAACCCAGACCGCCAGCUAAGGUCCCAAAGUCAUGGUUAAGUGGGAAACGAUGUGGGAAGGCCCAGACAGCCAGGAUGUUGGCUUAGAAGCAGCCAUCAUUUAAAGAAAGCGUAAUAGCUCACUGGUCGAGUCGGCCUGCGCGGAAGAUGUAACGGGGCUAAACCAUGCACCGAAGCUGCGGCAGCGACGCUUAUGCGUUGUUGGGUAGGGGAGCGUUCUGUAAGCCUGCGAAGGUGUGCUGUGAGGCAUGCUGGAGGUAUCAGAAGUGCGAAUGCUGACAUAAGUAACGAUAAAGCGGGUGAAAAGCCCGCUCGCCGGAAGACCAAGGGUUCCUGUCCAACGUUAAUCGGGGCAGGGUGAGUCGACCCCUAAGGCGAGGCCGAAAGGCGUAGUCGAUGGGAAACAGGUUAAUAUUCCUGUACUUGGUGUUACUGCGAAGGGGGGACGGAGAAGGCUAUGUUGGCCGGGCGACGGUUGUCCCGGUUUAAGCGUGUAGGCUGGUUUUCCAGGCAAAUCCGGAAAAUCAAGGCUGAGGCGUGAUGACGAGGCACUACGGUGCUGAAGCAA
rnacentral:rRNA from 1 species